AAAUAGAUACCCGGGUAGUCCACGCCGUAAACGAUGAUAACUAGCUGUCCGGGCUCAUGGAGCUUGGGUGGCGCAGCUAACGCAUUAAGUUAUCCGCCUGGGGAGUACGGUCGCAAGAUUAAAACUCAAAGGAAUUGACGGGGGCCUGCACAAGCGGUGGAGCAUGUGGUUUAAUUCGAAGCAACGCGCAGAACCUUACCAGCCUUUGACAUGCCUAGUAUGGUUUCCAGAGAUGGAUUCCUUGUCUUCGGACGCUAGGACACAGGUGCUGCAUGGCUGUCGUCGGCUCGUGUCGUGAGAUGUUGGGUUAAGUCCCGCAACGAGCGCAACCCUCGUCCUUAGUUGCCAUCAUUCAGUUGGGCACUCUAAGGAAACCGCCGGUGAUAAGCCGGAGGAAGUGGGGAUGACGUCAAGUCCUCAUGGCCCUUACAGGCUGGGCUACACACGUGCUACAAUGGCGGUGACAGUGGGCAGCAAACUCGCGAGAGUGAGCUAAUCUCCAAAAGCCGUCUCAGGUUCGG
rnacentral:rRNA from 1 species